rnacentral:rRNA from 1 species
UGGCUCACCAAGGCUACGAUGGGUAGGGGUUCUUAGUGGAAGGUCCCCCACCCUGGCACUGAGAUACGGGCCAGACUCCUACGGGAGGCAGCAGUAGGGAAUAUUGGUCAAUGGGCGCAAGCCUGAACCAGCCAUGCCGCGUGCAGGAUGAAAGCUCUCUGAGUUGUAAACUGCUUUUGUACAGGAGCAAAACAAUCCCUGCGGGGAUUCUUGAGCGUACUGUAAGAAUAAGCACCGGCUAAUUCCGUGCCAGCAGCCGCGGUAAUACGGAAGGUGCAAGCGUUAUCCGGUUUUAUUGGGUUUAAAGGGUGCGUAGGCGGCUUAUUAAGUCAGUUGUGAAAUCCUAGUGCUUAACGCUAGAACUGCAAUUGAUACUAUUAGGCUUGAGUUAAGAAUAGGUAAGUAGAAUUUAUGGUGUAGUAGUGAAAUGCUUAGAUAUCAUAAGGAAUACCAAUAGCGUAGGCAGCUUACUGGUCUUUAACUGACGCUGAGGCACGAAAGCGUGGGGAGCAAACAGGAUUAGAUACCCUGGUAGUCCACGCCGUAAACGAUGAUCACUCGAUAUACAUAAAUCUUAUGUGUGUCUAAGCGAAAGCGUUAAGUGAUCCACCUGGGGAGUAUACUCGCAAGGGUGAAACUCAAAGGAAUUGACGGGGGUCCGCACAAGCGGUGGAGUAUGUGGUUUAAUUCGAUAAUACGCGAGGAACCUUACCUGGGCUAGAAUGUAUUUUGCUACUUUGAGAAAUUAAGGGUUCCUUCGGGACAAAAUACAAGGUGCUGCAUGGCUGUCGUCAGCUCGUGCCGUGAGGUGUUGGGUUAAGUCCUAUAACGAGCGAAACCCUUUUACUUAAUUGCCAGCACAUAACGGUGGGAACUUUAAGUAGACUGCCCGUGUAAGCGGGAGGAAGGAGAGGAUGAGGUCAAGUCAUCAUGGCCUUUAUGCCCAGGGCUACACACGUACUACAAUGGCAUGUACAGAAGGAAGCUACUUGGUAACAAGAUGCAAAUCUCAAAAGCAUGUCUCAGUUCGGAUUGAGGUCUGCAAUUCGGCCUCAUGAAGUGGAAAU